GCAGACCUCCUGUGUUUAGGACCCAUUAGCAGAGGUUCUGGGGGUUCCUUUAGGACCCUUUAGCAGAGGUUCUGGAGGUUCAGGUGUUUGGACCCUAUGGCAGAGGUUCUGGGGGUUCAGGCCUUUAGGACCCUUUAGCAGAGGUUCUGGAGGUUCAGGCCUUUAGGACCCUUUAGCAGAGGUUCUGGAGGUUCCUUUAGGACCCUUUAGCAGAGGUUCUGGGGGUUCAGGCCUUUAGGACCCUUUAGCAGAGGUUCUGGGGGUUCAGGCCUUUAGGACCAUAGAGCAGAGGUUCUGGGGGUUCCUUUAGGACCCUUUAGCAGAGGUUCUGGGGGUUCAGGUGUUUGGACCCUAUAGCAGAGGUUCUGGGGGUUCAGGCCUUUAGGACCCCCCUCACUCCUUUGUGAUGCUGAAAAGGAGCCACAAAUAUAAAUAAUGUAUUUAUUUUCUUUCUAUGUUUUGUUACAUUAAUUUGGAUCGUAUCGAAUUGGUCAUGCAUCAAUAGAAUUAUUUUUGUUACUCCAAUCUUGUUUGCGAGUAUUGAGUGUCA
ensembl:lncRNA